rnacentral:rRNA from 1 species
CGAGUGGCGCACGGGUGCGUAACGCGUAUGCAAUCUACCUUUUACAGGGGGAUAGCCCAGAGAAAUUUGGAUUAAUAUCCCAUAGUAUCAAGAGUCGGCAUCGGCAUUUGAUUAAAGAUUUAUCGGUAAAAGAUGAGCAUGCGUCCUAUUAGCUAGAUGGUGUGGUAACGGCACACCAUGGCAACGAUAGGUAGGGGCCCUGAGAGGGGGAUCCCCCACACUGGUACUGAGACACGGACCAGACUCCUACGGGAGGCAGCAGUGAGGAAUAUUGGACAAUGGGCGCAAGCCUGAUCCAGCCAUGCCGCGUGCAGGAAGACUGCCCUAUGGGUUGUAAACUGCUUUUAUACGGGAAGAAACACUCCCUCGUGAGGGAGCUUGACGGUACCGUAAGAAUAAGGAUCGGCUAACUCCGUGCCAGCAGCCGCGGUAAUACGGAGGAUCCAAGCGUUAUCCGGAAUCAUUGGGUUUAAAGGGUCCGUAGGUGGAUAAUUAAGUCAGAGGUGAAAUCCUGCAGCUCAACUGUAGAAUUGCCUUUGAUACUGGUUAUCUUGAGUCAUUAUGAAGUGGUUAGAAUAUGUAGUGUAGCGGUGAAAUGCAUAGAUAUUACAUAGAAUACCAAUUGCGAAGGCAGAUCACUAAUAAUGUACUGACACUGAUG